rnacentral:tRNA from 1 species
GGGGAGAUACUCAAGCGGCCAACGAGGGCAGACUGUAAAUCUGCUGACUCCGUCUUCGCAGGUUCGAAUCCUGCUCUCCCCA